GUGGCUCGUUAUUGCCGUACUUGUAGUACGUGCCAAGUGGUGGGGAAGCCUAACCAGGUUAUUUCCCCGGCGCCUCUCUGCCCGAUUCCGGUCAUGGGAGAGCCGUUUGAAAAGGUUUUGAUUGAUUGUGUUGGUCCGUUACCAAGAACUAAGUCAGAUGUCUAGUGCUUACCACCCUGAGAGUCAAGGUGCUCUGGAACGUUGGCAUCAAACCCUAAAAGCCAUGUUACCCCGUUGUCUUAUUUACAACCCUGCCUGGUUCCUGGAGAAGGGAAAGAUAGUGCUGCCCAUGGGUCUACUUCUGCACGUAGAUAACCCUUUGUUAUACACACUAGGUUAGCUGGGCGGGAGUCACCCAUGUGUUUUGGUAAGAGCUAGGAAAGCUGGUUAGGGACUAGACCGGAUUAGGAAGGAUUAGAGGUAUAGAAGCGUAGGGACCUCUUUAUUGUUUUCAUUGAUUGGACCCCGUUCUCUAAGUCCCUUCUCCUACCUUCCCUAUUGUGUCUAUUGUGUUUUGGUGGGAUGGUUGUUCCUGUAAAUGGGUAUGUUAUGGUUUUGUUUAAUUAAUAACUAACCUGCCCCAGUGUGGGGAUACACCUAA